UACGUAGGGUGCAAGCGUUGUCCGGAAUUUAUUGGGCGUAAAGAGCUCGUAGGCGGUCUGUCGCGUCGGCUGUGAAAACCCGGAGCUCAACUCCGGGCCUGCAGUCGAUACGGGCAGACUGGAGUUCGGCAGGGGAGACUGGAAUUCCUGGUGUAGCGGUGAAAUGCGCAGAUAUCAGGAGGAACACCGGUGGCGAAGGCGGGUCUCUGGGCCGAUACUGACGCUGAGGAGCGAAAGCGUGGGGGAGCGAA
rnacentral:rRNA from 1 species